rnacentral:lncRNA from 1 species
GAGAGGCCUUCAAAACUCUUGCUUCACGGUUGCUCCCGAUUCUUUUAGCAGAGACAGGAUACACCUGGCAGAGAGACCUGGCUCAGAUUCUACCUCUUUCUUUUACCAGCACCGGGGCCCUGGGAAAAGAUGUGGCCGCCAUGAGGCUUGGUAUCCCCAUUUGCAACCCAGAGCCAAGGGUUCCUCCCUGUUAUGGUUGCUGGGCGAUUCUGAGGCACUCCUCCACACUCCUUUGUGGCACCAA